GAUGAACGCUGGCGGCGUGCUUAACACAUGCAAGUCGAACGAUGAAGCCCAGCUUGCUGGGUGGAUUAGUGGCGAACGGGUGAGUAACACGUGAGUAACCUGCCCUUAACUCUGGGAUAAGCCUGGGAAACUGGGGCUAAAACCGGGUAGGAGCGUCCACCGCAUGGUGGGGGGUGGAAAGAUUUAGCGGUUUUGGGUGGACUCGCGGCCUAUCAGCUUGUUGGUGAGGUAAUGGCUCACCAAGGCGACGACGGGUAGCCGGCCUGAGAGGGUGACCGGCCACACUGGGACUGAGACACGGCCCAGACUCCUACGGGAGGCAGCAGUGGGGAAUAUUGCACAAUGGGCGCAAGCCUGAUGCAGCGACGCCGCGUGAGGGAUGACGGCCUUCGGGUUGUAAACCUCUUUCAGUAGGGAAGAAGCGAAAGUGACGGUACCUGCAGAAGAAGCACCGGCUAACUACGUG
rnacentral:rRNA from 1 species